rnacentral:rRNA from 1 species
CGUGCUAAUCUGCGAUAAGCGCCGGUAAGGUGAUAUGAACCGUUAUAACCGGCGAUACCCGAAUGGGGAAACCCAGUGUGACUCGUCACACUAUCAUUAACUGAAUCCAUAGGUUAAUGAGGCGAACCGGGGGAACUGAAACAUCUAAGUACCCCGAGGAAAAGAAAUCAACCGAGAUUCCCCCAGUAGCGGCGAGCGAACGGGGAGGAGCCCAGAGCCUGAAUCAGCAUGUGUGUUAGUGGAAGCGUCUGGAAAGGCGCGCGAUACAGGGUGACAGCCCCGUACACAAAAGCGCAUGUGCUGUGAGCUCGAUGAGUAGGGCGGGACACGUGGUAUCCUGUCU